AGUGAACGCCGGCGGUAGGCCUAACACAUGCAAGUCGAACGGCAGCACAGGAGAGCUUGCUCUCUGGGUGGCGAGUGGCGGACGGGUGAGGAAUACAUCGGAAUCUACUCUGUCGUGGGGGAUAACGUAGGGAAACUUACGCUAAUACCGCAUACGACCUACGGGUGAAAGCAGGGGACCGUCGGGCCUUGCGCGAUGGAAUGAGCCGAUGGCGGAUUAGCUAGUUGGCGGGGUAAAGGCCCACCAAGGCGACGAUCCGGAGCUGGUCAGAGGGGAUGAUCAGCCACACUGGGAAUGAGGCACGGACCAGACUCCUACGGGAGGCAGCAGUGGGGAAUAUUGGACAAUGGGCGCCAGGCUGAUCCAGCCAUACCGCGUGAGUGCAAAAGGCCUUCGGGUUGUAAAGCACAUUUGUUGGGAAAGAAAUCCAGCUGGCUAAUACCCGGGUGGGAUGACGGUACCCAAAGAAUAAGCACCGGCUAACUUCGUGCCAGCCGCCGCGGUAA
rnacentral:rRNA from 1 species